rnacentral:rRNA from 1 species
AUACUAAAGCUAAACAUCUUCAAAGCUGUUAUACCCAUAUGAAGACAGGAAGACCUCCCACGAAAGUGGCUUUAAAUAAUGCUAUUCCACGAAAGCUAGGAAACAAACUGGGAUUAGAUACCCCACUAUGCCUAGCCUUAAACACAAGUGAACAUUUACACCUUCCACUUGCCAGGGAACUACGAGCCCCAGCUUAAAACCCAAAGGACUUGGCGGUGCUUUAGACCCCCCUAGAGGAGCCUGUUCUAGAACCGAUAACCCCCGUUAAACCUCACCCUCUCUUGUCCAUCCCGCCUAUAUACCGCCGUCGUCAGCUUACCCUGUGAAGGUUUCAUAGUGAGCUUAAUUGGUAAAACCUAAAACGUCAGGUCGAGGUGUAGCGUAUGAGAGGGGAAGAAAUGGGCUACAUUCACUGAACCAGUGUACACGAACAACACCCUGAAAUUGGACAUUCAAAGGAGGAUUUAGCAGUAAGGAGAGAAUAGAGUGCUCCCCUGAAACUGGCCCUGAAGCGCGCACACACCGCCCGUCACUCUCCCCACAAAUAGACCAAAUAUAAAUAAAA